rnacentral:rRNA from 1 species
UACGGAGGGGGCUAGCGUUAUUCGGAAUUAUUGGGCGUAAAGGGCGCGUAGGCGGCCCGGUAAGUCAAAGGUGAAAUCCCUCGGCUCAACUGAGGAACUGCCUUUGAAACUGUCGGGCUUGAGGCCGGGAGGGGGUAGCGGAAUUCCCAGUGUAGCGGUGAAAUGCGUAGAUAUUGGGAGGAACACCGGUGGCGAAGGCGGCUACCUGGACCGGUUCUGACGCUGAUGCGCGAAAGCGUGGUAGCAACAGG